rnacentral:rRNA from 1 species
GGUUAAGCGACUAAGCGUACACGGUGGAUGCCCUGGCAGUCAGAGGCGAUGAAGGGCGUGCUAAUCUGCGAUAAGCGCCGGUAAGGUGAUAUGAACCGUUAUAACCGGCGAUACCCGAAUGGGGAAACCCAGUGUGAUUCGUCACACUAUCAUUAACUGAAUCCAUAGGUUAAUGAGGCGAACCGGGGGAACUGAAACAUCUAAGUACCCCGAGGAAAAGAAAUCAACCGAGAUUCCCCCAGUAGCGGCGAGCGAACGGGGAGGAGCCCAGAGCCUGAAUCAGCAUGUGUGUUAGUGGAAGCGUCUGGAAAGGCGCGCGAUACAGGGUGACAGCCCCGUACACAAAAGCGCAUGUGCUGUGAGCUCGAUGAGUAGGGCGGGACACGUGGUAUCCUGUCUGAAUAUGGGGGGACCAUCCUCCAAGGCUAAAUACUCCUGACUGACCGAUAGUGAACCAGUACCGUGAGGGAAAGGCGAAAAGAACCCCGGCGAGGGGAGUGAAAAAGAACCUGAAACCGUGUACGUACAAGCAGUGGGAGCACAGGUUUACCUGUGUGACUGCGUACCUUUUGUAUAAUGGGUCAGCGACUUAUAUUCUGUAGCAAGGUUAACCGAAUAGGGGAGCCGGAGGGAAACCGAGUCUUAA